rnacentral:tRNA from 1 species
CCCUGAGUGGUGUAAAGGUUAACACACUUGGCUGCAAACCAAAAGGUUGGCUGUUCGAGUCCACAUGGG